rnacentral:lncRNA from 1 species
AUGUGCUCUUCUCACAGAGACCCAGGCCAAGGAAGAACUCUCCACCACUACCACUUCUUAAAUUUCAGAGCUGAAAAUGACUGAAUAGUCAUGGUAAUACACAUAGUUGACGUAACCGAUACGAAGAAUGAAAAACAUUCUUUCUACAUGUGAGAACUGCCUGGUUGGUUCUGCUCCGAGUGCCUCUCUGGAGGGCACAUGGAUUGAUUUGACAAUCACUUCAUUCUACUAGAGCCUGACCUUCGGUCUGGAAGUCGGGUAUAUGCCGCAGAGACUUAGAUGACAGCUGCGGGCUUCUGCUGGUGGGCAGCUGACAGCGUCCACCUUAAAGGACUGCCUUCAGUACCAUCUACAUUCUCCUACCUGGGACUGUGUGGCCAUGCAGACCGGCUCAGGUUUGAAAUCCUCACCUUCACAAAACAAUUCAACUGAUUUUGGUGGCUCCUGGUCUUCUUAAGUUAGUGGCAGCAUAACUCCAAGCUUUUCCUGUGUCUCCACAAGGUCUCUCUCCUUAUAUGUGUCUUUGUCCCUUUGGGGUCUCUUAUGUGAACAUUGUCAUUAACAUUAGUGCUUGGCCUAACUUAGUUUGAUAGUCUUAAUUUUUAUCUUCCCUUUACCUAUAAAAUCCCUAUUUCUAAAUAAAGGUAUAGUCUGUGAUGUACAGAGCACAAAAAUCUUAGAGUAAAGAAAGCCCCACUUCACCUACUAUAUGUGAGAAGAGUGGGCGGUGUUCCCAGUGGGUUGGGGAAUGUCUGAAAAGGUGUCUCCUGUGAGAUGUAUUGGGAAAUGAGGGUAUAAAUGACUUCGUGGUGGAGACAGGCUGAUAAGUGCCUAUAGUGCAGUGACAGUUAAUGGUAGGUUAUAUAAUGCUAACUUAGAGGGGGAGUGUGCCUAGGGAUACAAGUGGAGGUCACCUCAACGAGGGGAUAUUGAGUUGUCUUGAGCAAAGCAUAGAAAUACUGAUGAAUGCUAGAUUCAAAAUUGAAGCAGUCUUUAGGGAAAAAGACAGGUCUUUGCAUUUCACUAGAUUGCAUCCUCUUUUCCAUAGGAAGGCACUUGAGUACAUAUUACAGAACUGACAUAGGUUUGAAAGCUGUGUAUGGGCCCAUUAACUUUUGGUAGACACCUAUUUCUUAUUCCUAGAAUCAUAGUUGUUGCUUGAUGUUUCUUUUUGGCCCAUUGUUCCUUCUCUAGUUUUCUAUUAACCACUUAAUUUAAUAAACCUUCAUCUGUACUGACAAUAAAUGUGUUAAUAUUCCUCCGUAUCACAUCGAGUAGCCUUUCAUGGUGUGGCUAGUAGCCACGUCUCUGAUACACUAGAGUUCUGUCUCUUGGUGUGGAUAUGAAAGGUUGCUUCCCAGGAAUCUUUCUCACAGAGGGCCAAGAGGUUCCUGAAGUGCCCAGACAGGCACUGCUUGUCAUUUAGCAGUCUGUCCACAUUCUGAAAGUGGCCCAAAUUUUCAUAGAAAUUGGAAAUUGAGGGGGCAUCAAAAGCCCCAAGUUUCUUGUUUAAAAGGUUUUCUGGUCCCAGGUUUCAUUUGCUAUAAGAAUCAGUCUUCAUAGCAUUGUUAAUAUGAAUGUCUACAGACACGGUAUUUUUCUUGAUUUAUUCCUUGACAUUUAGUUCUUCAAUCUUAAUGUCUAGAUGUUUUUUUCUUCCUUCAAUUCCAUCUUUAGUUUUGUCAACAAUGGGAUUCAAAUGAAGAAAUUUAAUUAUUUGAGAUAUACAGUGAGUCCCUGUGACCCCACUAUUAAAA